rnacentral:rRNA from 1 species
UCAGUAACACGUAGUCAACAUGCCCAGGGGACGUGGAUAACCUCGGGAAACUGAGGAUGAACCGCGAUAGGUCACUACUUCUGGAAUGGGUAAUGACCCAAACCUAUAUGGCCCCUGGAUUGGACUGCGGCCGAUCAGGCUGUUGGUGAGGUAAUGGCCCACCAAACCUGUAACCGGUACGGGCUCUGAGAGGAGGAGCCCGGAGAUGGGCACUGAGACAAGGGCCCAGGCCCUAUGGGGCGCAGCAGGCGCGAAACCUCUGCAAUAGGCGAAAGCUUGACAGGGUUACUCUGAGUGAUUUCCGUUAAGGAGAUCUUUUGGCACCUCUAAAAAUGGUGCAGAAUAAGGGGUGGGCAAGUCUGGUGCCAGCC